AACGAACGCUGGCGGCAGGCCUAACACAUGCAAGUCGAACGCUCCGCAAGGGGAGUGGCGCACGGGUGAGUAACACGUGGGAACCUACCUUCUGGUACGGAACAACCAAGGGAAACUUUGGCUAAGACCGUAUACGACCUCCGGGUGAAAGAUUGAUCGCCGGAAGAGGGGCCCGCGUCCGAUUAGGUAGUCGGUGAGGUAACGGCUCACCAAGCCUUCGAUCGGUAGCUGGUCUGAGAGGAUGACCAGCCACACUGGGACUGAGACACGGCCCAGACUCCUACGGGAGGCAGCAGUGGGGAAUAUUGGACAAUGGGCGCAAGCCUGAUCCAGCCAUGCCGCGUGAGUGAUGAAGGCCUUCGGUUG
rnacentral:rRNA from 1 species